rnacentral:RNase_P_RNA from 1 species
UAAAGUAGUCGGAUAAUCGCGCAUUAUUGAAACACAAAUGUGAGGAAAGUCCGUGCAUCCAAGGACAGAUCGCCGGAGAAACUCCGGACGGCGUGAGCCGGUGGAUAGGACCACAGAAAACAUACUGCCGAUGGACUUUAUGUCACAGGCGAUGGUGCAACGGUGAGUUAAGAGCUUCACCAGCAAUAUUGAGAAAUAUUGGCUAGGCAACCCCCGAUAGGAUGCAAGAUUAACUUGAAGGUUACAAAGGCUGUCCGCCCACUUCAGAAAUAUCGCUAGAGAUUGUGAGUAAUCACAAUACCAGACAGAUGAUUAUCUAUAAACAGAACACGGCUUACGGACUGCUUUAUUUU